UACGAAGGGGGCUAGCGUUGCUCGGAAUCACUGGGCGUAAAGGGCGCGUAGGCGGCCAUUCAAGUCAGAGGUGAAAGCCCAAGGCUCAACCUUGGAACUGCCUUUGAUACUGUUUGGCUUGAGACCGGUAGAGGUAAGUGGAACAGCGAGUGUAGAGGUGAAAUUCGUAGAUAUUCGCAAGAACACCAGUGGCGAAGGCGGCUUACUGGACCGGUUCUGACGCUGAGGCGCGAAAGCGUGGGGAGCAAACAGG
rnacentral:rRNA from 1 species